AUCCAACUGACCAGUCCAAAAUAGGACGAAACGCGUGUCCUGGAU
rnacentral:hammerhead_ribozyme from 1 species